rnacentral:tRNA from 1 species
CUUGCGCCGGAUCGGUGGAUCAGGUGCUGCCUACGACGGCACGACGGUUCCGGCCGGGUCGCGGUUCAGCUCGAAUCCGGGGGGCAGGG